UGGGGAAUUUUGGACAAUGGGCGAAAGCCUGAUCCAGCAAUGCCGCGUGUGUGAAGAAGGCCUUCGGGUUGUAAAGCACUUUUGUCCGGAAAGAAAUCCUUGGCUCUAAUACAGUCGGGGGAUGACGGUACCGGAAGAAUAAGCACCGGCUAACUACGUGCCAGCAGCCGCGGUAAUACGUAGGGUGCAAGCGUUAAUCGGAAUUACUGGGCGUAAAGCGUGCGCAGGCGGUUUGCUAAGACCGAUGUGAAAUCCCCGGGCUCAACCUGGGAACUGCAUUGGUGACUGGCAGGCUAGAGUAUGGCAGAGGGGGGUAGAAUUCCACGUGUAGCAGUGAAAUGCGUAGAGAUGUGGAGGAAUACCGAUGGCGAAGGCAGCCCCCUGGGCCAAUACUGACGCUCAUGCACGAAAGCGUGGGGAGCAAACAGGAUUAGAUACCCUGGUAGUCCACGCCCUAAACGAUGUCAACUAGUUGUUGGGGAUUGCAUUUCCUUAGUAACGUAGCUAACGCGUGAAGUUGACCGCCUGGGGAGUACGGUCGCAAGAUUAAAACUUAAAUGAAUUGACGGGGUCAUAGCUGUUUCCU
rnacentral:rRNA from 1 species